rnacentral:rRNA from 1 species
UAGGUGGUUUGUCGCGUUGUUCGUGAAAACCGAAGGCUUAACCUUUGGCGUGCGGGCGAUACGGGCAGACUGGAGUACUGCAGGGGAGACUGGAAUUCCUGGUGUAGCGGUGGAAUGCGCAGAUAUCAGGAGGAACACCGGUGGCGAAGGCGGGUCUCUGGGCAGUAACUGACGCUGAGGAGCGAAAGCGUGGGGAGCGAACAGGAUUAGAUACCCUGGUAGUCCACGCCGUAAACGGUGGGUACUAGGUGUGGGUUUCCUUCCUUGGGAUCCGUGCCGU